UCUCCGUUGGUGAACCAGCGGAGGGAUCAUUACUGGAAUCGCAAGAUCCCACAACCCCUGUGAACCUACCGAAACGUUGCCUCGGCGGGCGCCCGGCCCCGCGCCGGGCGUCGAGCCCGCCGGUGGCCCACUACUCUGUCUCUGCAGCGUGGCAUCUCCGAAUACAAGAAAAACAAGUCAAAACUUUCAACAACGGAUCUCUUGGCUCUA
rnacentral:misc_RNA from 1 species